rnacentral:rRNA from 1 species
GACGAACGCUGGCGGCGUGCUUAACACAUGCAAGUCGAACGGAAAGGCCCUGCUUUUGUGGGGUGCUCGAGUGGCGAACGGGUGAGUAACACGUGAGUAACCUGCCCUGGACUUUGGGAUAACUUCAGGAAACUGGGGCUAAUACCGGAUAGGAGCUCCUGCUGCAUGGUGGGGGUUGGAAAGUUUCGGCGGUUGGGGAUGGACUCGCGGCUUAUCAGCUUGUUGGUGGGGUAGUGGCUUACCAAGGCUUUGACGGGUAGCCGGCCUGAGAGGGUGACCGGCCACAUUGGGACUGAGAUACGGCCAAGACUCCUACGGGAGGCAGCAGUGGGGAAUAUUGCACAAUGGGCGGAAGCCUGAUGCAGCAACGCCGCGUGCGGGAUGACGGCCUUCGGGUUGUAAACCGCUUUCGCCUGUGACGAAGCGUGAGUGACGGUAAUGGGUAAAGAAGCAACGGCUAACUACGUG